rnacentral:rRNA from 1 species
CUCACUUUUCUUGCCAUAUCCGCCUAUAUACCGCCGUCGUCAGCUUACUCUGUGAGGAACUUGUCGUAAGCACAACCGGCAAAGCCCAAAACGUCAGGUCGAGGUGUAGCGAAUGGAAAGGGAAGAAAUGGGCUACAUUCAAUAGUUAUAAUGAAUACGAAUGAUGUCUUGAAACAGACAUCUGAAGGAGGAUUUAGUAGUAAGCAGAGAAUAGAGUGCCCUGCUGAAAUUGGCCCUGAAGCGCGUACACACCGCCCGUCACUCUCCCCGAGCUAAUAAAAACAAAUUACUAAUAAACAAAACCUGCAAAGGGGAGGCAAGUCGUAACAUGGUAAGCGUACCGGAAGGUGCGCUUGGAAAAAC